rnacentral:rRNA from 1 species
UCGGGAAUUUUGGGCAAUGGGCGAAAGCCUGACCCAGCAACGCCGCGUGAGGGAUGAAGUAUUUCGGUAUGUAAACCUCGAAAGAAUGGGAAGAAUAAAUGACGGUACCAUUUAUAAGCUCCGGCUAACUACGUGCCAGCAGCCGCGGUAAUACGUAGGGAGCAAGCGUUGUUCGGAUUUACUGGGCGUAAAGGGCACGUAGGCGGCGCGGUAAGUCACUUGUGAAAUCUCUGAGCUUAACUCAGAACGGCCAAGUGAUACUGCUGUGCUAGAGUGCGGAAGAGGCAACCGGAAUUCUUGGUGUAGCGGUGAAAUGCGUAGAUAUCAAGAGGAACACCUGAGGCGAAGGCGGGUUGCUGGGCCGACACUGACGCUGAUGCGCGAAAGCCAGGGGAGCAAACG